CGGGGGAGCGCAGGAUCGUGGGCUGUGUCCGCCGGCACCAUGGGAUCCCGGGCCUGUGCGGCUGGAACCGCGCUCCUGGGCCGCCGCUCCCG
rnacentral:pre_miRNA from 1 species